CCCUUAGAUGUUCUGGGCAGCACGCGCGCUACAAUGGUCUUCGCAAACGGAUGCAUUCUCGAAGGAGAAUGCCAAUCUUGGAAUCUAUGCCUUGGUCGGGACAGUUGCUUGCAAUUUUUCGACUCGAACCAGGAAUUCCUUGUAAUCGUGAUUCAUCACAUCACGAUGAAUACGUCCCUGCCCUUUGUACACACCGCCCGUCGCUCCUACCGAUCGAAGAGUUAGGUGAAUUGUUUUGAUCGAUUAGAUUUGACUAUGGUCAACUCUCGUUGUGAAAUUCUGUGAAUCUGACUGUUUAGAGGAAGGAAAAGUCGUAACA
rnacentral:rRNA from 1 species